rnacentral:rRNA from 1 species
GACGAACGCUGGUGGCGUGCUUAACACAUGCAAGUCGAACGGGAUUUAGUAAACAGAAGCCUCGGUGGAAGAUUACUAAUGAGAGUGGCGAACGGGUGAGUAACGCGUGAGCAACCUGCCUAUGACAGUGGGAUAGCCUCGGGAAACCGGGAUUAAUACCGCAUAAAAUCGUAGAAACACAUGUUUUAACGGUCAAAGAUUUAUCGGUCAUAGAUGGGCUCGCGUCUGAUUAGCUAGUUGGUGAGAUAACAGCCCACCAAGGCGACGAUCAGUAGCCGGUCUGAGAGGAUGAGCGGCCACAUUGGAACUGAGACACGGUCCAAACUCCUACGGGAGGCAGCAGUGGGGAAUAUUGCACAAUGGGGGAAACCCUGAUGCAGCGACGCCGCGUGAACGAAGAAGGUAUUCGCAUCGUAAAGUUCUGUCCUAUGGGAAGAUAAUGACAGUACCAUAGAAGAAAGCUCCGGCUAAAUACGUG